AUACGGAGGGUGCAAGCGUUACUCGGAAUCACUGGGCGUAAAGCGCGCGCAGGCGGCCAUUUAAGUUGGAUGUGAAAGCCUACGGCUCAACCGUAGAACUGCAUCCAAAACUAUUUGGCUAGAGUGUGGGAGAGGAAGAUGGAAUUAGUUGUGUAGGGGUAAAAUCCGUAGAGAUAACUAGGAAUACCAAAAGCGAAGGCAAUCUUCUGGAACACUACUGACGCUGAGGCGCGAAAGUGUGGGGAGCAAACGGGAUUAGAAACCCGAGUAGUCC
rnacentral:rRNA from 1 species